AGGUGUGCAAGAUAUGUAUCACUCACAUUAUUUGCUAUUGCUAGACCUAUUCUUUGUCGUUGACUUAUUUAAUUUGUUCAGUAUCGCAUUGACAUAAACUUAAUAAAACCAAAAAAAAACUUACUAAAACCAAUCGAAUUAUAAAUGUUUUGUUUUGUUAAAUGAUAUUCUAACUCUGUUCUACAUAUUUAGUUGUUAUUUGUUAUACGUUAUACAACACGGUUAAUACUAUACUAAUGGUGAAUGCUGAUAUCUUACAGAAAAUCACGAGUAUGAUCAACAAAAUAAUUUUAACUAGGAUCCGAGCUCUAGCUCUCCGAUCGGGCGUCAUCGCUGCAGUG
rnacentral:lncRNA from 1 species